rnacentral:rRNA from 1 species
CCUACGGGGGGCAGCAGUGGGGAAUAUUGGACAAUGGGCGAAAGCCUGAUCCAGCCAUGCCGCGUGUGUGAAGAAGGCCUUCGGGUUGUAAAGCACUUUCAGUGGGGAAGAAAGCCUUGGGGCUAAUACCCUCGAGGAAGGACAUCACCCACAGAAGAAGCACCGGCUAACUCCGUGCCAGCAGCCGCGGUAAUACGGAGGGUGCGAGCGUUAAUCGGAAUUACUGGGCGUAAAGCGCGCGUAGGCGGUCUGAUAAGCCGGUUGUGAAAGCCCCGGGCUCAACCUGGGAACGGCAUCCGGAACUGUCAGGCUAGAGUGCAGGAGAGGAAAGUAGAAUUCCCGGUGUAGCGGUGAAAUGCGUAGAGAUCGGGAGGAAGACCAGUGGCGAAGGCGGCCUUCUGGACUGACACUGACGCUGAGGUGCGAAAGCGUGGGUAGCAAACAGGAUUAGAUACCCCAGUAGUC